ensembl:lncRNA
GGUACCACGGCCCCCUGUAUAUAGCCUCCACACUGCCUGGGUACCAGGGCCCCCUGUAUAUAGCCUCCACACUGCCUGGGUACCAGGGCCCCCUGUAUAUAGCCUCCACACUGCCUGGGUACCAGGGCCCCCUGUAUAUAACCUUGUUAUCGUUAUUCUUAUUGUGUUACUUUUAAUUAUUACUUUUUAUUUCAGUCUACUUGGUAAAUAUUUCUUCUUCUUGAACUGCACUGUUGGUUAAGGUCUUGUAAGGAAGCAUUUAACAUUUGAUUUGAUUUGACCCAUUCAUUUCUAAUGACCGGUCAUUUUUGACUGGGAACACCAGAGGUGUAUAAAAGUUAAAUAAAACACCCAAAAUGUAAUGCAAAUUAUCAAAAUGUAUUUUGUGUGUUCAGAUGCCCUGUGUGGACAAAGUAAUGGAACCUUAUGACAAUCAGAUUAAAUUAACUACAUUUUUCAGAGAAGAAAUGUGUAAAUCGGUCCAAUUUGACCAGAACACAGCAGGAGGGUUGAGACACAUUAUAAAAAUUAAAAAAUACAUUAAUAAUCAACCUCAGAUACUUGUACUCACUGACAUCUAAUGUGGCAGGACCACAGGUAAACAUACAAUGUGUUCUAGGCACUGAGAAAUUCCUUGUGUACUACCUUAGUUUUGUCUACAUGGAUAUUCAAAACAAUAUUUAUAUAUACCAAUAUAAAACAAUAUAGAAACGUUGUAUGUUUGGUGUAUGUAAAGUAUUACAGGGCACUACGCUAUAAUGUGCCUUGAAAUGAAUCCCGACCUAAAUGGUGGAAGCCCUCUAUGCCUCUGUCCAUGCUAAAGCAGGCUUUGUGGCAAAUACAGUAUUAUCUUUAUAUGAUCAUACUGUAUAUUAAAUAUACCAUUAUGUUGUUCUCUCUUUAUGUGAUUCCCCUCAACUUUUACUUCAGAAGGAGACACCAUCUUUGGCACAAGGUGUGAUCCAUUCCCACCAUUGACUGUUCAGUGUGUAAAGAGACAUAGAAGAGUGGCGGGGAGACAGGUCACUGUGGUCAACACACCAGCCUGGUGGAGGGAAUUUCUGAAGAAAGCUCCUGUGCAAGAGUUGGAUAAAUAGGAAAUAGUGUGCACUGUGUCACUGUGUUCCCAGCAACCCAUGUUUUCUUCCUGGUCCUAAAGAUGGACUAUAUGUUCACAGAGGAAGAAAGAAUGGCAGUAGAGGAGCACAUGUAACUUCUUGGCAAGACAGUCUGGAGUGAACAACAACUAUAGUGCUGUUCACUAAUGGAGAGUGGCUGGGAGAUGCGACCAUUGAGCAGUACAUUGAGUGUGAAGUGGAGGCCCUUCAGCGGCUUGUUGAGAAGUGUGAGAACAGUUAUCAUGUCUUCAAAAACCUUGGCAGGGAUGAUGUCCUGGAGCUGCUGGAGGAGAUAGAAGACAUGGUGGCAGGAAACAUGGAAGAUCAGUUUUACACUUAAAAUGACUCCUGUCUAAAACAAGGUCAUCAAAAACUCAUUACCCUCCACAGCCUGCCCAUGAUACCUACCAGCCAAGUGGAGCUAUUCCUCAUUUUAUAUCACUCUUUAUGGAACGGAUGCUGAAGGAGGAAGAGAAAGUCAAAAGCUCCAGAUGAAAUGUCAUUAUCAGGAAGGGGAAGAAGAAUCCCAUUUAGUGUGAUUAGAGGUCAGAGGCCUUGGAGGUGUAAACACAAAAAUCAACUGAGAAAGUUGAUCAUGUUUUCUUUUCUGUUCAUUUAUAAGUAAUUUCAAAGUUCAUAUAAUAACAGUAUGGAGUUACUAGCUGGGUUCUAGCUUGAAAUAUAUUUAUUCAUGUUACCAUUCUAGAACUUAUUGAUUGCUGUACAAGUAUAUAAGCUGGGGUCAAUGGAGGGUGGAUAAGAACUAGGUAUAUGGAAUGUUCCUGAGUGAGACAAGGGGGAGUGCAGAAAGUUUACAUUCUGUAAAAACAUGUUAUUGUUAAAUGGCUCCUAAGGAGGGAGGCAAAAGGCAGCAGUCUGGUUUCAGCCACUGUUAAGGUAUGACAUUCGUGGAUCAGGGAGGAGCGAGGAAUUCGGACCGAGGUCAGAUAAGAUGAAGUGAGAAGGAACACACAUAUAAUUCCAUGCCCACGAAGGUUCUAGCAUGAGACUACACCAGUGAGAAGAACAAAUUAAGUUCCUGACCAGCAACAGAGAUGUAUUGGCUGUCUAGAUGUGCAAGGAGUUGACACCAGCUAGUAGGAGGGUAUAAAUGUAUGUGCUUGUGUAAACAUGUCUUUGUCUUUUUCAGCUGUUUGACCCAGUGGGUGAAUAAACUUGGUUUGAG